UACAGAGGGUGCAAGCGUUGUUCGGAAUUAUUGGGCGUAAAGCGUGCGUAGACGGUAGCGUAAGUCGGGUGUGAAAGCCCCGGGCUCAACCUGGGAAUUGCAUUCGAGACUGCUCUGCUAGGGUGCGGAAGAGGGGAGCGGAAUUUCCGGUGUAGCGGUGAAAUGCGUAGAUAUCGGAAGGAACACCAGUGGCGAAAGCGGCUCCCUGGUCCAGCACCGACGUUCAGGCACGAAAGCGUGGGGAGCAAACAGG
rnacentral:rRNA from 1 species